UACGUAGGGGGCAAGCGUUGUCCGGAUUUAUUGGGCGUAAAGAGCGUGUAGGCGGUUUUACAGGUCCGCUGUGAAAACUCGAGGCUCAACCUCGAGCUGUCGGUGGAUACCGUAAGGCUAGAGUCCGGAAGAGGAGAGUGGAAUUCCUGGUGUAGCGGUGAAAUGCGCAGAUAUCAGGAAGAACACCCGUGGCGAAGGCGGCUCUCUGGGACGGUACUGACGCUGAGACGCGAAAGCGUGGGGAGCGAACAGG
rnacentral:rRNA from 1 species